CAAGAACACACCCAACAAAGGAGCAGCCAUAUCCUUUUCUUCUGAUCUUCUUCAUGACCAUCAGUCAUUCACCUUAAGACUAAUAACUCUAUCUUAGUAUCAUUAGCCAUGUAAACCAACCAUUAGAAACUCCCAUUUUUACUAUCUAACAUCACCAGAUCCAACUGAAAUUUCAUGAAAAUCAGUGGCAAAGUAGCCCGCAUCAGUCCCAAUCUCGGCCAUUGAAAAUUUCAAGCCUAGUCGAGUACGUCCGAGGUUCGUCGAACUCCAACAAGCCGCGAAUUCGAGGUUCUAGAAUGGUGGUCUUGACAGUCUUCCAGUGUUGAGCAAACGUAGUCAGAUCCUCUUUGCUAUAAGAUCCAGGUACCGCUACUCAGGCCUACCAUCCUUGAGGGAGGCGACUGCUCUAGAGAUUUCGAGAUUAUGAGGACACCUGCUACCCGAGAUGAUCAGGCACCUGCACCCCUUACUACAGCCGGUAGAGGCUGGGGCCGAGGUAGAGGUCGAGGACGCGCACAUGGUGCAGCCAGAGCACUUGCGCGAGCUGCUGCCGAGGUAC